CCUACGGGUGGCAGCAGUGAGGAAUAUUGGUCAAUGGACGAGAGUCUGAACCAGCCCAGUAGCGUGAAGGAUGACUGCCCUAUGGGUUGUAAACUUCUUUUAUAUGGGAAUAAAAUGUUCCACGUGUGGAAUUUUGUAUGUACCAUAUGAAUAAGGAUCGGCAAACUCCGUGCCAGCAGCCGCGGUAAUACGGAGGAUCCGAGCGUUAUCCGGAUUUAUUGGGUUUAACGGGCGCGUAGGCGGAAUAUCAAGUCAGCGGGAAAAAUUCGGGGCUCAACCCCGUCGUGCCGUUGAAACUGGUGGUCUUGAGUGGGCGAGAAGUAUGCGGAAGGCGUGGUGUAGCGGUGAAAUGCAUAGAUAUCACGCAGAACUCCGAUUGCGAAGGCAGCAUACCGGCGCCCAACUGACGCUGAAGCACGAAAGCGUGGGUAUCGAACAGGAUUAGAUACCCCUGUAGUC
rnacentral:rRNA from 1 species